rnacentral:rRNA from 1 species
GAUGAACGCUGGCGGCGUGCCUAAUACAUGCAAGUCGAGCGAACGGACGAGAAGCUUGCUUCUCUGAUGUUAGCGGCGGACGGGUGAGUAACACGAGGAUAACCUACCUAUAAGAAUGGGAUAACUUCGGGAACCCGGAGAUAAUACCGGAUAAUAUUUUGAAACGCAUGGUUCAAAAGUGAAAGACGGUCUUGCUGUCACUUAUAGAUGGAUCCGCGCUGCAUUAGCUAGUUGGUAAGGUAACGGCUUACCAAGGCAACGAUGCAUAGCCGACCUGAGAGGGUGAUCGGCCACACUGGAACUGAGACACGGUCCAGACUCCUACGGGAGGCAGCAGUAGGGAAUCUUCCGCAAUGGGCGAAAGCCUGACGGAGCAACGCCGCGUGAGUGAUGAAGGUCUUCGGAUCGUAAAACUCUGUUAUUAGGGAAGAACAUAUGUGUAAGUAACUGUGCACAUCUUGACGGUACCUAAUCAGAAAGCCACGGCUAACUACGUG